GGGGUCGACUGGUUUUGACAGCGAGAUUAAUGGAAUAGUAAGCACGCCGAGCGCCGGAUCAUAGCUCGUAAAUCUCAUGGUUCAGACUUUUUAAACGGCGAAGAUAACUACGCCCUAGCUGCAUAACCCGAAUUAUAGUAAGGUAAUGCCUCGUCCGACUAGGUCGGAAAGCAGGAUGUCUCUCAACGGCCUUGGUUUGCGGCAAUUGAUCCAGAGACAUCGUAAAAGUAAACCUAGAAUUCACAGGGUCCUGAUGUGAUUUCGAAACUUAAUUGGGAAUAAGGAUAACUUUGGAUGUUUUUUUCCGGUGUUAUCUCGAAAACCAAUAAAAAACUAAGCGUGUAGAAAGCUGUUGUAUUACUUGUUUGGACGAGGGUUCGAAUCCCUCCGACUCCACCA
rnacentral:tmRNA from 1 species